rnacentral:rRNA from 1 species
GUACACUCCUGCGGGAGGCAGCAGUGGGGAAUUUUGGACAAUGGGCGAAAGCCUGAUCCAGCAAUGCCGCGUGAGUGAAGAAGGCCUUCGGGUUGUAAAGCUCUUUUGUCAGGGAAGAAACGGUGAAAGCUAAUAUCUUUUGCUAAUGACGGUACCUGAAGAAUAAGCACCGGCUAACUACGUGCCAGCAGCCGCGGUAAUACGUAGGGUGCAAGCGUUAAUCGGAAUUACUGGGCGUAAAGCGUGCGCAGGCGGUUUUGUAAGUCUGAUGUGAAAUCCCCGGGCUCAACCUGGGAAUUGCAUUGGAGACUGCAAGGCUAGAAUCUGGCAGAGGGGGGUAGAAUUCCACGUGUAGCAGUGAAAUGCGUAGAUAUGUGGAGGAACACCGAUGGCGAAGGCAGCCCCCUGGGUCAAGAUUGACGCUCAUGCACGAAAGCGUGGGGAGCAAACAGGAUUAGAUACCCUGGUAGUCCCAUG